rnacentral:rRNA from 1 species
UUAAGCGACUAAGCGUACACGGUGGAUGCCCUGGCAGUCAGAGGCGAUGAAGGACGUGCUAAUCUGCGAUAAGCGUCGGUGAGGUGAUAUGAACCGUUAUAACCGGCGAUUUCCGAAUGGGGAAACCCAGUGUGUUUCGACACACUAUCAUUAACUGAAUCCAUAGGUUAAUGAGGCGAACCGGGGGAACUGAAACAUCUAAGUACCCCGAGGAAAAGAAAUCAACCGAGAUUCCCCCAGUAGCGGCGAGCGAACGGGGAGGAGCCCAGAGCCUGAAUCAGUGUGUGUGUUAGUGGAAGCGUCUGGAAAGGCGCGCGAUACAGGGUGACAGCCCCGUACACAAAAAUGCACAUAUUGUGAGCUCGAUGAGUAGGGCGGGACACGUGGUAUCCUGUCUGAAUAUGGGGUGACCAUCCUCCAAGGCUAAAUACUCCUGACUGACCGAUAGUGAACCAGUACCGUGAGGGAAAGGCGAAAAGAACCCCGGCGAGGGGAGUGAAAAAGAACCUGAAACCGUGUACGUACAAGCAGUGGGAGCCUCUUAAUGGGGUGACUGCGUACCUUUUGUAUAAUGGGUCAGCGACUUAUAUUCUGUAGCAAGGUUAACCGAAUAGGGGAGCCGAAGGGAAACCGAGUCUUAACUGGGCGUUAAGUUGCAGGGUAUAGACCCGAAACCCGGUGAUCUAGCCAUGGGCAGGUUGAAGGUUGGGUAACACUAACUGGAGGACCGAACCGACUAAUGUUGAAAAAUUAGCGGAUGACUUGUGGCUGGGGGUGAAAGGCCAAUCAAACCGGGAGAUAGCUGGUUCUCCCCGAAAGCUAUUUAGGUAGCGCCUCGUGAAUUCAUCUCCGGGGGUAGAGCACUGUUUCGGCAAGGGGGUCAUCCCGACUUACCAACCCGAUGCAAACUGCGAAUACCGGAGAAUGUUAUCACGGGAGACACACGGCGGGUGCUAACGUCCGUCGUGAAGAGGGAAACAACCCAGACCGCCAGCUAAGGUCCCAAAGUCAUGGUUAAGUGGGAAACGAUGUGGGAAGGCCCAGACAGCCAGGAUGUUGGCUUAGAAGCAGCCAUCAUUUAAAGAAAGCGUAAUAGCUCACUGGUCGAGUCGGCCUGCGCGGAAGAUGUAACGGGGCUAAACCAUGCACCGAAGCUGCGGCAGCGACACUAUGUGUUGUUGGGUAGGGGAGCGUUCUGUAAGCCUGUGAAGGUGGCCUGUGAGGGUUGCUGGAGGUAUCAGAAGUGCGAAUGCUGACAUAAGUAACGAUAAAGCGGGUGAAAAGCCCGCUCGCCGGAAGACCAAGGGUUCCUGUCCAACGUUAAUCGGGGCAGGGUGAGUCGACCCCUAAGGCGAGGCCGAAAGGCGUAGUCGAUGGGAAACAGGUUAAUAUUCCUGUACUUGGUGUUACUGCGAAGGGGGGACGGAGAAGGCUAUGUUGGCCGGGCGACGGUUGUCCCGGUUUAAGCGUGUAGGCUGGUUUUCCAGGCAAAUCCGGAAAACCAAGGCUGAGGCGUGAUGACGAGGCACUACGGUGCUGAAGCGACAAAUGCCCUGCUUCCAGGAAAAGCCUCUAAGCAUCAGGUAACAUCAAAUCGUACCCCAAACCGACACAGGUGGUCAGGUAGAGAAUACCAAGGCGCUUGAGAGAACUCGGGUGAAGGAACUAGGCAAAAUGGUGCCGUAACUUCGGGAGAAGGCACGCUGAUAUGUAGGUGAAGCGACUUGCUCGUGGAGCUGAAAUCAGUCGAAGAUACCAGCUGGCUGCAACUGUUUAUUAAAAACACAGCACUGUGCAAACACGAAAGUGGACGUAUACGGUGUGACGCCUGCCCGGUGCCGGAAGGUUAAUUGAUGGGGUUAGCGGUAACGCGAAGCUCUUGAUCGAAGCCCCGGUAAACGGCGGCCGUAACUAUAACGGUCCUAAGGUAGCGAAAUUCCUUGUCGGGUAAGUUCCGACCUGCACGAAUGGCGUAAUGAUGGCCAGGCUGUCUCCACCCGAGACUCAGUGAAAUUGAACUCGCUGUGAAGAUGCAGUGUACCCGCGGCAAGACGGAAAGACCCCGUGAACCUUUACUAUAGCUUGACACUGAACAUUGAGCCUUGAUGUGUAGGAUAGGUGGGAGGCUUUGAAGUGUGGACGCCAGUCUGCAUGGAGCCGACCUUGAAAUACCACCCUUUAAUGUUUGAUGUUCUAACGUUGGCCCCUAAUCGGGGUUGCGGACAGUGUCUGGUGGGUAGUUUGACUGGGGCGGUCUCCUCCUAAAGAGUAACGGAGGAGCACGAAGGUUGGCUAAUCCUGGUCGGACAUCAGGAGGUUAGUGCAAUGGCAUAAGCCAGCUUGACUGCGAGCGUGACGGCGCGAGCAGGUGCGAAAGCAGGUCAUAGUGAUCCGGUGGUUCUGAAUGGAAGGGCCAUCGCUCAACGGAUAAAAGGUACUCCGGGGAUAACAGGCUGAUACCGCCCAAGAGUUCAUAUCGACGGCGGUGUUUGGCACCUCGAUGUCGGCUCAUCACAUCCUGGGGCUGAAGUAGGUCCCAAGGGUAUGGCUGUUCGCCAUUUAAAGUGGUACGCGAGCUGGGUUUAGAACGUCGUGAGACAGUUCGGUCCCUAUCUGCCGUGGGCGCUGGAGAACUGAGGGGGGCUGCUCCUAGUACGAGAGGACCGGAGUGGACGCAUCACUGGUGUUCGGGUUGUCAUGCCAAUGGCACUGCCCGGUAGCUAAAUGCGGAAGAGAUAAGUGCUGAAAGCAUCUAAGCACGAAACUUGCCCCGAGAUGAGUUCUCCCUGAGACUUAGAGUCUCCUGAAGGAACGUUGAAGACGACGACGUUGAUAGGCCGGGUGUGUAAGCGCAGCGAUGCGUUGAGCUAACCGGUACUAAUGAACCGUGAGGCUUAACCUU